rnacentral:rRNA from 1 species
ACGUACACUCCUGCGGGAGGCAGCAGUAGGGAAUCUUCCACAAUGGGUGCAAACCUGAUGGAGCAAUGCCGCGUGAGUGAAGAAGGUCUUCGGAUCGUAAAGCUCUGUUGUUAGAGAAGAACACGUGCUAGGUAACUACUAGCGCCUUGACGGUAUCUAACCAGAAAGUCACGGCUAACUACGUGCCAGCAGCCGCGGUAAUACGUAGGUGACAAGCGUUGUCCGGAUUUAUUGGGCGUAAAGGGAGCGCAGGCGGUCUGUUUAGUCUAAUGUGAAAGCCCACGGCUUAACCGUGGAACGGCAUUGGAAACUGACAGACGUGAAUGUAGAAGAGGAAAAUGGAAUUCCAAGUGUAGCGGUGGAAUGCGUAGAUAUUUGGAGGAACACCAGUGGCGAAGGCGAUUUUCUGGUCUAACAUUGACGCUGAGGCUCGAAAGCGUGGGGAGCGAACAGGAUUAGAAACCCUAGUAGUCCC